UUUGUAUAAUGGGUCAGCGACUUAUAUUUAGUAGCAAGGUUAAGUGAAUAACGGAGCCGUAGCGAAAGCGAGUGUUAACUGCGCGUUUAGUUGCUAGGUAUAGACCCGAAACCCGGUGAUCUAGCCAUGGGCAGGUUGAAGGUGGAGUAAAAUCUACUGGAGGACCGAACCCACCUAUGUUGAAAAAUGGGGGGAUGAGUUGUGGCUCGGAGUGAAAGGCUAAUCAAGCCCGGAGAUAGCUGGUUCUC
rnacentral:rRNA from 9 species